UACGUAGGGUGCGAGCGUUGUCCGGAAUUAUUGGGCGUAAAGAGCUCGUAGGCGGCUUGUUGCGUCGACCGUGAAAACCCGGGGCUCAACUUCGGGCUUGCGGUCGAUACGGGCGGGCUAGAGUUCGGUAGGGGAGACUGGAAUUCCUGGUGUAGCGGUGAAAUGCGUAGAUAUCGGAAGGAACGCCGGUGGCGAAAGCGACGUGCUGGACCUCUUCUGACGCUGAGGCGCGAAAGCUAGGGGAGCAAACGGG
rnacentral:rRNA from 1 species